rnacentral:rRNA from 1 species
AACGAACGCUGGCGGCAGGCCUAACACAUGCAAGUCGAACGCGUGUAGCAAUACACGAGUGGCGCACGGGUGAGUAACACGUGGGAAUCAACCCAGAGGUUCGGAAUAACCGCGGGAAACUGCGGCUAAUACCGGAUAUCCCCUACGGGGGAAAGAUUUAUCGCCUUUGGACGAGCCCGCGUCCGAUUAGCUAGUUGGUGAGGUAACGGCUCACCAAGGCUACGAUCGGUAGCUGGUCUGAGAGGAUGACCAGCCACACUGGAACUGAGAUACGGUCCAGACUCCUACGGGAGGCAGCAGUGGGGAAUAUUGGGCAAUGGAGGCAACUCUGACCCAGCCAUGCCGCGUGGGUGACGAAGGUCUUCGGAUUGUAAAGCCCUUUCGGCGGGGACGAUGAUGACGGUACCCGCAGAAGAAGCCCCGGCUAACUUCGUGCCAGCCGCCGCAGUAAGAC